ACGCGGGAACGAAGCGAGGGUCCGAACACUUAAGGACAAGGGAGUAAGGAGGUUGGACUGGAUUCUGUGUUAUGUAUACAAACACACGAUAAGUCAAGUGCAAAUGAGCAGACACGUGACGGCGUGCUUCAGAUGUAAGCGUCUACAAAUAUCCGAGAGGUGCCAGAAGAAAUGCUUGCAGGAAAAAGGAGACCUCUUUUACACAGAGAAAUCGGGACUUUUUCUGUUUUUCCGAGUGAAAGCAAUCGAUGCAGUUUUACAGCCAGCGUGAAAGGGGCCAAGAUGAUGACCGACGUCUAGAAGCAGGUCAG